CUUUUUCCUUAGAAUAUCAUUUCAAGAAGAGACAUAGAGUAGUGAUCAGUGAUCAGAGCCAGAGAGCACCAGCAUCCUUGAGAAGAGGCACAAGAGUACCAUUAAUAUGAGAAGCCAUGACUCUAUCCAUGGCACCCACAAGCUUUCCGCCAAUGAACACAACAGGAACAGCAGAUGAGCUCCCAAGAAGCCUCAUGAGAGCCUCCUCCAUCUCCUUUCCUCUAGGGUCUUCGUCGAGCUCGUGCACUGUUGGGUUCACCCCCAUGCCACAGAACAGCCUCUUUAUAGCAUGACACAUGCAGCAUGUGCUUAUGCUGAAGAUCACCACUGCAUUCUCUGAAGCUAGCCUCUCUAUGCGUUCCAAUGGGUCACCCACGUUUCUUGGUGGCAUGUAAGACCCCCAGGAUGACUCAGUCUGAUACAUUUUUUCUAUCAAGAAACGGAAAGACAAUGAAGCAGUAGUAGCAGCAACAGCUAGCAAGAAAUGGAAAUAACCAAGGUAUAUAUAUUAAACAACUUCUUCUUUGGAUUAGUCUUGGGUAAACGAAGGUAAAAGGUUUUGGUGUG
rnacentral:misc_RNA from 1 species